rnacentral:lncRNA from 1 species
AUUUUUUUUUUCUUUCGUUUUUUUUGUAUUUUAGUUUUUAUGUAUUUUUUUUUCUUUCGUUUUUUUUGUAUUUUAAUUUUUAUGUAUCUUACUCUCCUAAAGAUUCCGUUUGGCCUAAAGUUUUUGUAUACACAAAUGACUAGGCUGGGUGUUCGGAUACGAUUAGGUGCAGACCGGGCUAUGUAACUAGGUUGCUAAAAUAUGAUUAGGUGCAGCGGUUCUCAAUUAAAGUUAGCUUAAAUUCAUAGACCUAUCUUUAAAUAUCUUUAGAUUUCUCGACUAAAACAAUUCCCACAUCUAUGAAAUAUUUUAAUUUUGUAUAAUAGCCAUAUGGACCAUGAAAACCAGUGUUAACAAAAUAUGCACUGUUUAAGUUUCACUCAAAGAUUUCAAAUAGAAAUAAGUAAAUCCAUAAAGGACAUUAACGCUGAUGAAACAAAACACGAUCGAUAUUAAACAGAUCAAGCAAAUAACAAAAGCAACUGUUUAAACGCUACUCUUUUUUACAGAAGGAGGCCAAGAUAUUCUCCGGUUCGAAUUGUUAUUACCAUCUUCUUCUUCUUCUUCUUCUUCAUUUUGAUCAUUGUUUUGUCUCCUUGUGUUAUGAACAGCUAAGUCGUCGAAGCUUGACUCUGUUCUCCCUUGAGGUGGAGUCAUACAAUCUAAGUCUCUAUGUGUCAUUUCGUUACCUCCUGGUGUUGUUGGUACAGAAACCACAGAGUUACCAACUCGAAGUUUUUGAAGAGUCGCGAACGAUUCUCUCAUCGCAGACAUGGCCUCAAAGAAUCUCGUACAUGAAGCUAGCGCCACCGGUAUUGGGCGCAGCAUUUCCUAUGAUUUUUUGGGAAAACAAAAAAGUAAAGAGAUUGAGAUUAUGGCAAGUAAAACCGAAAUCAACUGUUAUGCAACACAUUACAUAAAAGUAGCAAUCUCUUUCUCUCUUGAUGCAAAGAGUUUAAAAACAUAGAAAUCUAAUUCAAGGCCCUGAUGACACAACUGAUCCUUCUGCAAUGUAAUCUAUGAGCUAUAUACAGUUUACGCAAUAGCAUGUCGUAGUGUAACCUAUUACAACACUAUGAACAAUUUCUUAGAUUCGAACUGAGAUGAGUAAUUCAAUGUAUGCAACUAAACAUGUGGAGUUAUGUCUGAAUGAUGUAAAUGGAAAACAAAAAACAAGAUGCAUAUAAAAGAGAGUAAAAUCAUACCCCCCAGACUGAAGGAGGUUCUUUAAAGUUUUGGCUCCACUGAAAAUCAGACACUGAUGCUGUUAAGGCGCCAUAAUCACUGGCGGCUUUCAUUAGCAACUCUGAGAAUUGUUUCUGAAAGACAACGCAGAACAAAGCCAUUAAACAUAGCAUCUUCGUUUUCCAGUUGUGCAACUUCAGAUAAUAAUCAAGUUUAGGAUAACUAGAGCAAUACGGUUUAGUUGGUCCUCAAAGUUGCAAAUAGUAUAAAAUGGCAUGAAUCACCUGAUAUUCUGCUUCAACUGGAAUGCAAUCUAGCGAAUAAGGUUGUUGGAGACGAGCAAUGAUGCGAUCAUGUUAUAUGAACAGACAAGUGAUAUAAUAGACUUCAACAAGUGGUUCACGAAUUGAAUCAAAGACAAUUUGCAGUCUUAAGACAUCCUCAGAAGCAAAUGUUUCCAAAACAUCUUAAGCAAGUUUCUCAAUUUUCAAAACGAUAGAGUAGGUACUGAACAAGAGGGAUAUGGCUUAAAGGAAGAAAAGAUAGAUAAACGAACUCGAAAGAUACAUAAACCUUAUUCCAGAAAGAACAGAAAAAAAUGAGUGUUAGAGGCAAGUAAAAAGGAGAAAUUAUCUACCUUGUUUUGUAUAACAUCUUUCAAUAUCUUAGUAAUCCUUGACAAAGUCUCGAUUUUCUUUUGCAUUUCACUCACAUGAGUCAAAUGCGCCACAUUUUUAUCAUCCUGAAAUUCGUCAACAAGAAAAGUUAUAUACAAAGCAGCUAACGAAACUAGUAACAGAUAUACCAAUAAGUUAUCAUACAGCUUCAGGCAAUGCACAUAUCUUAAUUUAACUUUAAAAGAGAAACAAAACCCUGAAAAAGAUACCUUCCUCCCUUGAAGCUCGACCUGCAAGUCUGCAAUUUUCCUUUGAACAGCAGAUAACUCUCUCAAUACCCUUAUCAAAUCGUCACCUCUUUCCCCAUUUGAAGACGCCAAGCUUUGUAAUUCUUCCUACAUUGAAAAUGAUUGAGCUCAUAAUCUCGAUUCAAUAUGAAUACGAAUUCUCACAAAAUGUAGCUAAUUAAACAGAUAAAUAACCAUUAAUCUUCUCUAAUUCAGGCAAAAUUUCUCAGAUUCAAUAUAUUAAAGCCAAAGAGAUCAAAGAUCUAAUCAUAACAUAUGUUCCAGAGAUUCGCAAAGCUCACAGCUAAAAUUCCUCACUCCUCAGAAACAUAAUCUCCUUCAAAUUACAGAUCUCAUACGCAUUGUUCUGCAAAGUCAAUCUAAUAGCAAAACCCAGAGCAUACACUAUACUCAGCUAAACCGGAAACGAAAUUCCGAUUGAGAUGAGAUUGGUAAGUUACCUGCGACGGAGGAGGAGCGACGGCGAAACCAAGAUCGGAGGCGAUAGAGAGAGCAUCAGACAAUCCGCCGAUGCGCCUGAUCGGUUUCUUCCCAACCCACGUCGUGUCGCUUCCCAUCGACAUCUUUCCACAAAGCUUUUCGGAGAUUAAUUCGACGGUGGCGGAUCCAGAAAUGUUAAUAAACCAAAUUCAAAUAUAUUCAAAAAUAUUUCGUUAUGCUAUAAUAAACCUUUUUUUUUUACUUCAAUAAUAAUACUUUACUUUUGUAUAUGUCAAAUAUAUAUUAAUUUUAACUUUUAAGCAUAGUGUAAACAAAAAAGAACCAGGAGACGUAACAGAUUAUUGAUGUGUAAAACAUGUUACUGUCACAUUAAUCAAAUAGAAAUAUAUAACUAAAAAUUUGUGAAAAUAUUUUACAUGUCCCAACAUUUUUGGCACAACCAACAAACUUCACAAAAAUACAUUUGAAGAAGAACCGAAGACUAGUAGUGUCAAAUCAAUUCGUUUCAAAACAAGAAUGGGCUUGACCCAAAAAUUUGCUGAAGAUAACCCAAUAUGCUAUUGCGGACGAGAAAUAUGGACACUGAAAGAGCUGCUACGUGAGGUACCGCAAGUAACCCGACAAAACCAACCAACAUAAUAGAAACUAGUGGUUUGUAUUAGUAUUGUUGAUAUGCCAUUAUAAAAUAAUGUUGUUGAAUAACGAAAAAAUUAGUGUAACAUUUGUUUUGCAGUAAAUUUUACAUUGAAAAUGAGAUGAAGUUAUGAAGCCUAAAACAAUAAUACUUCUUCCGUUUCAUAAUAUAAGUCUUUUUAAGUAAAAGCAUGCCAAUUUCAAAAAAACUAAUGGGUUGAUAAGUGUUGUUAAGAAGAAGACAACAAUCCCAGAGGACCUUCCAGAGAUUCUAACUAAUAAACGAUUUAUAUUGUGAAACAAAAAACUUUAUCCAAAACGCCUUAUAUUAUGAAACGGAGUGAGUAUAUAAAAGUCUAAGAGACAUUGAGGACAAGUUCUUCAGAAGUGGAGGAGACUGAUGUAGGAGAAAUUUAGGGAAUUUACCUUUUCUUUUAAUAUUUACUUAUUUCACGUUUUCUAUUUUGUUUAAGGGUUUUCUAUUUUAUGUUUUGGUUUUAUUCUCUAUAUAUAUAGAGAUCCUAGGUUAUUUACCGGGGAUGUUUUUUUUGAUUCUAAUUAAUAAGAACAGAGAGCUUUCUCUUUUCCUGGUGGAUUCCAGACCCUUUUCUGGUGGAUUCCAGAGUUUUAUCAUUAAGUUCGUCGCUAGCGAACUUGAUUUCUAUCUAGGCAUAGUGUUUGCUAUUCCUAGAGAUUCCGACUGCGUCAUUAUAGAAUUCCUGUUGUGGAAAGAGAAUUUGUUUAAAAUAUUGAUCUCGACAUCUCGUGUACGUACUCAAAGAGAUGGAGCGUGGUUCAUGAGUGAUAGUUUCAAUGCAAAAAUAGGAAAUCUUGAGAAGGAGAGGAACAUACACGGUUUACAACAACUCGAACAGUAAGCUAUUAGAGCAUCCAUAAGAAGUUUAAGAUAGAGUUUUAUGAGAAGGUCAUUAUAAAUUUGUUAAUAAAUUAAUGGUUCUUAGUCACUACUCGGUAGUACUCACUAGUUAGUUUAUUGUAUAUUUGUACGUACAGAAAAUAUGGAGAAUCUAAUGCUAUUGGUUGUUGGCUCAAAUGUCGAAGCAUCACCUAUGGUGAAGCAGAGAGAUGAGUCGAAUCUCUUCCGAAACUAUGCACCACUAAAACCUUGUAUUAUAUAAUAUUACAUCAUUUAUACAACUAAUGUGAUGGAGACUUUAGUGAAAAUGUAAUGGAGACUUUAGUGAAAGAAUCGGUCAACAUAUUUAUUCUCCAAUGCAAAAUAUCAAUAAUGGCAACUAGAAUUUAGAAAAUAGUAAAACAUAAGCUAAAUGCUUCACUAGCUAUUAUAUAUAAUAAAUGUGUAGGUAGUCAAAUUAUGGGUGGAAAUCAGGCAAAUCACUAUGGAUAUAGUAUUUCUAAUUCUAACAUGGAUAGUAAACUUGUAAUCUAAUAAAUUUUGAACAAGAGUCGUGAAAAAUGAUGUAUACUAUUAUCUUCUCUUUUUUUUUUAAGGUCAAAUUAAACUGCGUGAAAAUAUGAUGUAUACUAAUAUACUUAUUAUUUAUGCUUUAAUUUUCAAUUUCAUUGUUAGUUUAUUAGAGUAUCUUUAUCGGUUGGGUUUCUUAAAACAAGGUUCUCACAAAUUUUAUAUUAAUAUUUUAAUAUAAAUUUUUAUAUAACUAAUUUUUUUAUUUUUGUUAAAGCUUAGUCACAUUCAUAAGUUAACAACUUUGAGCAAAGUAUCUAAAGGAGUUUUGGUAGUAUCUCAAAUGAAAUACCGUUUCUCUCACUCUCCUUAACUUUUUUUUUUUUGUUUUUCAAUUUUUAUUGCUAAGAUACCGAGUUAGAUAUGGACGAUAGAGAUACUCUUACAUUAUCCACAAUGAUUUUUCCAUUCAACACCAUACUUCUUAUUUUUAACAUUCCACAUCAUUGUGAAGUGACCGUGAUAAAUGAUAAGUCUACUAAGAACAGACACCACCACGUCAUUGUGAAGUGACUAUGAUAAAUGAUAAGUCUACUAAGAAUAGGCACCAUCACCCAAAGUCGAGUCCUGCUCUCUAAAUUUGUAGGGAUUUGGCUAAUGAACUGGCUAGUUGUGUCUUAAUAUUGACAAAAGUAAAAUAAAAAAUAUUUCACAUCAUUUUCUGUUUUUCCACCUAAUAAUUCAAGCUCUACUCAAUUUAUAUAUUCUACAAUCGUUUGUUUACUAAAAUUCAACACCUUACUCCAGUAUUUUUCUUAUAUAUAUAUUAUGUUUUUAUUUUAUUUUGAUAACAGUCGAGACAAAUUAGUUCGGUGUACAUAUCAAAUUAAUUGAGGUAUAUUUUAUAUAUAUAUAUAUAUAUAUAUAUAAUCAAUGCAUGAUAGUUACAACGAGAAUAUUACAUGAUAUUCUCUCUAUUUUAAUCUUAUAUAUGUAUUUUUUUUAAUUAUUUUUUUAUUUUUUUGUAUUAUUUUUUUAAGUACUAAAUAUUUUGUAAUAAAUAAAUAAAAGGUGACAUGCAAUAUAUAAGGAUUUAAUCUAAUGGGCGGGAUCUAGUAGUUUUGAGAAUGAGUGUUCAAGAUCACUAGCUCAACUCUACUUGGGAAAAGAUAAUUUACGUUAAACAUGGUAUUAUAAACCCCGAGCACACGAAAAUAUUAUGGGCCAAAAGUCUGGCAUCCUUUAUAGUUUAUUAAAAAUAUAUAUAUAUAUAUAGGGAUCCAUAAAAUAAGCAUUAUGAGAAAUUGGUAAAACGUAACUUUACAAUAUUACUCGUUGUUUUCUACAGUAACAUGGUCUUUCUUAAAUGUCACUAAAUUCAACUUGAGCCACUGACCAUGGAAGGCUCGUCGCUUGGUCUCCGAAAGAGAAAAGAACAAUAUAUUGUUCGAUACGGGGCCAACUUGUAAGGUUGAUUUUGUUGGGGAAAAAAAAACGUGUAGGGUUGAAGAAAGCUAAGAGGUGGAGAGGGGACCAAAUAGAUGGAAAAGGAAAAGGUGGAACAAGGUUAGGUGGAAAUAACAACAUGUAUGCCCAUCGUUUGUAAUUUUUAUUGGUCUAUUAGGACUUUUAAGUUAUGAUAAUUUAUGACUUUGGGUUAAUUCAUAACUUUAAGAUUUAUUUUUUGGGUGCACAAAAGGAAGGAAAAUUUUGCAGUUUAAAUGAAUGAUAAUUUUAUUUUAUUUUGUUUUUGAUUCGAAAAAAUUAUGGACAAAAAAAAAAAAAUUUGGUAAUUCUAGAGAAGAAAAUGAUGAUUGAUGACUAUUCCCGUAAACCUGAAGUCAUAUCGCAUUUAAAACUUAAAACUGAGCCAUUUUUGUUAGUUGCUUAAAUUUUAAUUUUUGUAGAAAAUAUAUUAAAAUUGGUUCAUAAUAUAUUUAAAAGGAAUAUUAUCAUUUCUAUUCAUAAUUCGAAAAAUCUUUUCAUUUCUACCACUUCUCCUUCGUUCUUUUCAAAUGUACCACAUUUUUUACGUGGAAAGACAAAAAAUUCUCUCUCUUUUGUGCACCCAAACGCUGCCAUCAAUUUGACUUCUGUACAUUUUCGCUUCCCAUGUUUUCUCUAUAGAUCGUUAACUGUCCGCAUUAAUCUCAAUCUAUUUCGGGGACAACUAUAUCUAAACUUUGAGGACAACUGGAUCUACUGGUUGUUCAUCGCCAGAUGGACUAGUUUUACUCGCCAGAGAUUUUGAUUUACUUUUGGGGGACUUCAUUCACUAUGUUACUCUUUAUAUAAUCCUAAUUUGCCAACAAUUUUACAUCCAAUAUAUAAUCUUGUAUUUUGAGAAUGAGACUAAUGAAAUAAUCAACACUUUGUUAAAUUCGAGAACAACUGGAUACGAUGGUUGUCUAUGGCCAUAUGGUGUGGUUUUACCCGCCAGAGAUCUGGACUUAUUCUUGGAGGACUUCAUUCACUCUAUUUACAUAAUUAUUGGUUGUAAUAAAUGUAAACUGCAUUUAAUAUAACCCUUUUAUCCUUCUUCUCUAACACAAAGCUCUUAUUUUUUUAUACAAAACUUCACACUUUUUCGGGAGAAAAUCGUCUAUAAAAUACUACAAUAUCAUAGAAAUAUUGUAAUUUUAGAAAGGUUAGUUCAGUUGUGGUAGAUUUGAAAAAAAAUAUUUCAAAAGUGGUAGAAAAAACAAUAAUCCCUACUUUAAUACUUUUAUAGUUAUAUUGAAUUAUUUACGACCAUAUGUAUAUUAUUAGGUUCUCUAAGCCCAUUCCAAUUUUCCAUUAGUAUGAUAUUGUCUGCUUUGGGCCCAAGUGUGUAAGCCUGCAGGGAUUUGUUUUGGGCUCCUUCCCAAAAGAUUUCAUUCUAAUUGGAGUUGGACUUUGCUUAUAUAUUAGAUAAUUAUCUUCUAAACUUCUGAUGUGGGACGUUAGUUUGUACCAACAAUCUCCGUUUCAAACCAAGGACCACAAACAUUGGGCCUCCUCUUUAGCGAAACCUUGGCACCCUAACUCGACACCUUCUUAUUCGCGAAACUCUUGAAGCACUAUCUUAUCGUGUCACAUUAAGGGCUUCUCCCACUCCGAUCACAGAUCCCAAGCCCAUUUCCCUAGGUCCACUUUUUUAUUUGCUUUGAUACCAUAUUAUUGGGCUCUCCAAGCCCAUUCCAACUCCCCAUUAGUAUGAUACUGUCCACUUUGGGCUCAAGUGUCUAAGUCCGCACGGAUUUGUUUUGGGGUCCUUCCCAAAAGACUUAACUAAUUGGAGUUAAACUUUACUUAUAUAUUAGAAACUUCUUUUCUAAACUUUCGAUGUGGAAUGCUGGUUUGUACCCAACGAUCUCCCCUUCAAAUCAAGUACCACGAACAUUAGACCUUCUCUUCAGCAAAACGUUGGCACCCUAACUCGGCACCUUCUUGUUCGCAAAGUUAUUGAGGCACCUUCUUAUCGUGUCACAUUUGAGGAUAUCUCCCACACCGAAAUUUAGCCCACACCCAUAUGUCCACUUUUUUUCGACCUAGGGUCUGAUACCAUUUAUUGGGCUUUCUAAGCCCAUUUAAACUCUCCCAUUAAUAUGAUGUUAUUGGGCUCUGAUACCAUAUUAUUGGGCUCUCCAAGUCUAUUCCAACUUCCUAUAGUAUGAUAUUGUCCGUUUUGGGUCCGAGUGCCGCGCGGAUUUAUUAUUGGGCUCUUUCCCAAAAAACUUUAUUCUAACUGGAGUUGGACUUAAAUUAUAUAUUAGACAAUUCUUUUCUAAACCUUCGAUGUGAGACGUUGGUUUAUAUCCAACAAUGUACGUUCAUUAAUUGUAAUUUUUAUUGGAGUAUUAGGAUUUUCUAUAUAUAAAAUAAGUUCUUAAGAGUUAUGAAUGAAAGUUCCGUUGUUUAAACGAAUAAUAAUUCUAUUAUUUUAUUUAUAAUCCGAAAACGAUAUGAACUGAAAGAAAAAUAGAAUUGGUAAUUCCAGAGAAGAUGAUGAUGAUGGAUGACUAUUCUUAGAUAAGUCAAUUUCGCAUUUAAAACUUAAAAUUGAACCACUUUUGUUAGUUGCUUAAAUUUUAAAAACCUUCGAAAAUACAUUAAAAUUGGUCCAUAAUAUAUUUUUGAUAUUUACCAACUUACGGUCUUACACAGGGCAGCUUAUGUUAGUUGCCUGGAAAUUUAAUAUAGAAAAUACAAUAAUUAAAGAAAAACUCUUAAAAUGGUAAACUCAAAUAUGCAAAAGUCAAAUAGAAAUGGCGAUUGAAAUCAAAUACACGAGCCUCUGUAGUUUAAGGAAAAAAAUCAAAAAAGAGUUGACCGGAUCUGAUCUGAAUCAUCGAUCUAACAUGAAUAAUGCACCAAAUUCUAAUUUGGUAUUCAAAUCCAAAUUUGGCGUGAGAGGUGGCGUAAUUAAAUAUAACUUUCAAAUUAGCUGCAUCAUUAAGACGAAUAAUUGAGAGUCUUGGUCAAUCAAUGCGACAAAGAAUCUUUAAAUAUAGUAGGUAAAAUACCCAUUAACCAUUGACUAACCCCAUCAUCAAAUCAAUUUAAUUAAACUAUAUCUAAAGUCGUCCAACUCGUAUCUCUUUUGUUAUUUAAUUAACUGAUAAUAAUUUAAAAUGAUUUUUAAAAUUCCAAAUCAGAGGAAUAUAAUUUACCGACUCUAACUCCUAUCUCAUAUAUCUAAAAUUCUGAAUUCUCUAACUAUUUUUUAUAGGAUUUUCCCGAAAACUGUAAUUCUCGAAAUUAAAAUUGAAAACUAAAAAAUAGAAAAGACGAAUAUUACAAAUAUUUAAAUAACCAAAACGAAAAACACAAGUGGAUAAUAGUUCAAAAAAAUUGAAAAAUGGGAAUAAAUCCAAAAUUUGUAUUAAUUUUAGAUUUUUUUUUAAUAUAAAAUUGUUGAGAAAAACAAAAAUUGUAUUAAGGUUAUGAAAGGAGCAACUAGUUUAUACGCACCUUCUUACCUUGUCUUAAAUAGUCCACCAAAAAAGACAAGACAAGAGGUGGCUCGACGUACAUUAAUAAACAAUAUAAUUUUCCUUGGAAAAAUAAAAGAUAACUUUCCCAAAUUAAUUCCGAGUAUAUAAAAUAAGACCAAAACCUCAUCAGCUUUCUAAAUUCCAAGUCACAGUUUCGUUACCAACUUGACAAGAAAAACAAAAAAAGCUAUGGAGAAUCUAUUGGGUCUUCUGAGAAUUCAUGUGAAGAGAGGUGUGAAUCUUGCCAUUAGAGAUAUCUCUAGCAGUGAUCCUUACGUCGUUGUUCACUCCGGUAAACAGGUAACUAAAACAUCCUCAAAUCCCAUAAUUUAUUCUCUACCAUUUUGGCCAAUUCUCUGUUUUCUAAGUAAUUUUGCAUCUUUGACUAAAUCUGGUGAUGCAUCUAGUAGAAUCUGAUCCGUUUAUUGAACUGUUGGUGGGUAAUAAAAGCAUUUGCUAGUUCUUUUGUGAUUUGACAGUGGAUCAUUGACUCUUUAUGUUAGAUCUCAAACAUAAUCAUCAAGAACUUAGAUUUAAGUUGUUGAAUUUAAUCAAGAUUUGGUUAUCAAUAGUUAGUUAUACCUAAUUUUAUAAGAUAAUAUGAAGUCUUUGACUUUUGAUUUGGUAUAUGUCUGAAUAGUACUAGCUAUACCUGUCUUAACCUAAUCCAAAUUAAUAACCAGUUAAUAUCUUCUCUGAAUAGAGUUGAGUUGUAUAAUUGAAAAUUUUGCAUAAAUGUAAAUGGAGAAGAAGACUUUUGCUUCUUUAUUUUUUUUUUCCAUAUUAGCGGGUCCUUGUACAUGUGAUGAUUUAGUCUUUUUUUUGUUCAAAGUGAUGAUUUAGUCUAAGCCAUCAAUUUUUCUUCUUUUUGUCAACUUCAAUGAUCAAUCCCUCCUGGUUCCACCACGAAAUGAUUGCUUGUGUUGUCGCCUUUUGAGUUACCUUAAGCAUUGGCUAGUUCUUGAAUCUUGAUUCUUUUGUUUGUGAUGUGUCUUUUGGCUUAUUUGAUAGUUCUUGAUUCUUUACUAUGAUUUAGUCCCUAAUCUUUUGUUUGUGAUGUGUUUUUUACUUAUGUGAUGCAGAAGCUGAAAACACGUGUGGUGAAACAUAGUGUAAACCCCGAGUGGAACGACGACUUGACACUUUCCGUGACUGAUCCGAAUCUACCGAUUAAACUUGUAAGUGAUCCUUACAUAGUUACAUUAUAUUUUAGCAUGAUUGUUGAAACAGAAUGAUAAGCGAUGGAAUUAUGAUGCAGACGGUUUACGACUAUGACUUGUUCUCCGCGGAUGACAAGAUGGGAGAAGCCGAGUUUCACAUUGGUCCAUUUCUUGAAGCUAUUAAAUUCUGCCAUCAGCUCGGACCAGGACUUCCUAGUGGGACCAUAAUAAGGAAGAUAGAGCCAAGCAGAAAAAAUUGUUUGUCUGAAGAGAGCCACAUUGUAUUGAACCAAGGCAAGAUUGUCCAGAAUAUGUUCCUUAGACUCCAGCACGUGGAAUGUGGAGAGGUUGAGCUACAACUCGAGUGGAUCGAUGUCCCCGGUGCAAGGGGUAUUUAGGUCAAAUCAUAUUGAUCCAGUCCAAUCCUUAGUCCCCUGUGCAUAUGGUUAGAAACUAGAACUACGGUGCAGUUUAAAACUGGUCAAUGAAAUAAUCUCAAACUGGCUUGUGUCAUAAACUCUUUUAGUUUUCUUUUUUUUGUUUCUCUUGGUUGAUUCCAAAAAGUGUGCAAGUCCAUGAGGAGGAAGUGUAACACUUGGAUCUCUACAUAAAUAUCCUAUUUCGUGAAUUGUGUAGAUUCAAUGAUCUCUCGCCUCUUCUUUGUGAACUAUUAGGGAAUGUUGAGAAGAUAGAUAGAAAACAGAGGAGAAAAGCUUGAUGAAGAAGAAAAAGAAUUUGUGAAAUGAUUUAUUUUUCAUUAUUUCAUAACAAAUUUCAUUUACAAUGUUUAUAAAUGAACUCAUGUUUAUUUUGGUUAACUAUGUCUAAAAUCUAGGAUCCCAACUCUCGUUGUGAAUUCUACUUCUAAACAAGCAUUAAAAUCGGGUUCAAUAUGUUCACAAAAAUACCUAAACCCAACCUCUUUGAGAAUAAAGAUUUUUUCUCACCUAAGAUAGUUUAGGGAAAAUUACACUCUUCUGCUAAUUAACCCUAAGAUCAGAUUCUAGUUAGCUACUCUAUAACACGUAUUAAGAACAAUCAUAUAUAAGUGAAGAACUCUAUGGAUUUAUCCUAACAGUUUAUUAGAUCUAACAAUUCAUCUAAAUCCCUAUUGAGAAUUCUUAAUCCUAACAAGCAGACUACUCAGACAUGAUCAUAGAAACAUAAAGCAUUUUAUGAAUAGAAAGAAUAAAAGAAAUCAAAUAAAGAUUAGAGUUAAGAAAGAUCUUCUCUCUACAGAGUUUUGAAUUAUGAAUCCAAGCUCUCUCCAAUUCUCUCCCAAAAGGUUUAAGCUAUCAAAAUUUCAAAAAAGUUGCAAAGUAAAAAGAGUCUAAACAAUGGCCCAAAAAUCUAUUUAUAAGUGCUUAAAAACGUUCAGAGACUUGGUUGAAAUUAGGGAAGUUUUCUAGGUUUUUCUGUAAUUCUUCAAAACUCUUUAAGUUGUCGAGACUUCUCUGGGCUGACGUCAAUUAAGGUGUCCAGCGACACCAAAUGAGUGUCGAUCGACACUCACUCCUUCAUCCAAUUCCAGAUUCGUUCCUUCAGCUUAAUUUCUUCGGUUUCACUUCAAAACACUCCAUUAUCUGCACAUGCAAAAGACUCAAAAAGGACUCUAGGAAUAAAAAAAAGACUAAAAACAAUAUCAUGGCUGAGAACCAUAAAAACCAUGAUAUAUUACUAGAUUACAACUUUCCCUUACAAUAUUGUAGUCAAUUUCGAUGUGCUUGAUUUUUCUGGGGAAGAUUUCGAUAUGAAAAAAUGUACUUUCAGGAAGAGAACCAAAUUUGAAGAAGGAUAAUCUUUAAAUCCAGGAGGUGAUAGUGGAACCAUAUGAUAUUACCGAAGCUAAAGCCAAGACUCAAUAUUUUGCAUUAGUAGAUGAUCGAGAAAUAACUGUAAGUUUUUAGACUUUCAGGAGGUAAAUAUACCAAAUCAAAUACAUAUCUUGCUAUCAAGACAAGAAACUCAACUAGAAUAGGGUAUUCUACACAAAAAAAAAACAUCUAUGUCUUUAUUUUUUAUAAGUUUAAUCCUAAUUUGUCGUGGAACCCCUUUUGACCAUUUGACAGGAUGUUAUACUAGGUGUGGGGUUCGAUUCCCAGAGAAUGUACUUCUUUGAAGAUUAAUGAUGCUACAUACAGUGUUUUCCGUUGUGGUCUCAAGUGUUAGAGGUUAGACUAUCCAUGUCGUUGUGGUCUCGAGUCUUAUGGGUAAAGAUUAUCCUUCGUUGGUAUGACCCAAGUAAAAUCGUCAAUAUGAGAACCGAUUAAUGCAGGGAGAGCUGAAUGUCGUGGAGUUGUUUAUGGAAUCGUUCAUUAUAAUCGCAUGUAUAACAUGUAGUUAGAUCUUAUAGAUUGAUCAUUAUUAGUAAUAAGAUUAGAUCACAUAUCUAUGAUGAUAAUGUAGCAGAUGGCGGGAAAAAACAUCCCAAUUUGCCAAAAAUGCAAGUCAACCAAACGAAGUAUCUCUCUGUAGAUUUUUAAUUAACAUGUAUUAGACUAUGUAUAUAUUAUUAAAACUACAUUGUUUUGACCAUCUAUACUAUGAACUGGGAACCAUUAUUUACUUAAUGACAUGAAGACAUGAAGUUUCUAAAUUUUACAUGAAAUGCCAUUGGGUAAAAGAACAAAAACAAAUCUCUCAUCGCAAAGAGGUCUAGAUAUCUUAAUUUAAUCCAUAUAUUCAAAUAAGCCUCACAAUUAAUUCUCUACUAUCCUAAUAAUCAUACACAGUUGAAAGAAUUGUUUUUAACAUUAAUGAGAAUAAAAAUAUCUAUAAAUAACAAUAUUUGAGAAGUGUUUUUGUUGAUGUGUCGGACUCACAGCUCUUGUUGAGCCCUUGCUUUUGUGUGAUUACUUAAAUGCCCUUUAUUAAAUUCGAAUAUUAAUUAGUUAAGGUUAAAAUACAUAUCUACCCUAAAAUAAAAAUAUAAAUAUUCGAUAUAUAUAUAUAUAUAAAUAUAUAUUAAUAUGCAAACUUAUUAAUUGGUUUUAUCAAUAUUUAUAAACACCAAAUAAUACAAAAAAAAAAAAAAUGGAUCAAAUGCAAUUAACGUACCUUUUUAUGUCGGUUUAUCAUCCCACCAAGAACAUCCGGUUACUUGAAGAACCUGAUACCCUAACAUCAAAUGAAUCUCUAGACAUUUCUACAUAUCGUUUACGUACCAGUUUGUGAUCUUAAUUUUUGUAUCCUGUUACCACCAUCUCAUGUUAGCUUCGUGACCAUCUACUUGGCUUGAUAAUACCUUUCGACGGCAAAAGAUUCAUAUUUAGUGGGUUUGAAUACUACCUUUAGUUUAAGUCAACGUAGUGUCGAGUACAGACUUGAUAUCCUUUUUUUCCCAUCUCGCUAGCCCAUAAUUUUACUUUGAUCUUCUGAUAUUUUCUUCCGAACCCAUUGUAGAGAGAUUUUCCAAGAUAAUGUAUGUUGCUAGGGUUUCGGGAGUUUAUUAGCAAUACGAUACGAUCAUCUCAUAGAUUAUUAUUCAUAUACGAUAAGUUAAUUGUUGGUUUUAAUUAUUAUUCGUUAAAUCUUACUAAUAGAUUAAAAUAAGUUUAUAUCCUAUUUAUUAUUAAACUACAGCUCAUAUAAAUAUAUUGUAUCCUAUUUAUUAUUAAACUACAGCUCAUAUAAAUAUAUCGUAUGGUAACCAUAAUAAUUAUAUAUGUUAUUAUUAUAAAUUAUAAAUUAUAUAUAUAUUCUAGAAAUAUGACAGUUUUGUAUUGUUACUUUUUAAAAACUAACUAAUGUGAGAUAAUAUCGAGUUUGUAUACGAUGAUAACGAGAUCGUUAAAUGUUAAUAUUCCUUUAUUCUAUUGAGUAUAUCUUAAACUAAUAUUCUAAACAGUUAACUAUCCAAUUUAUUUAUUUUUAUUAUUAUUGAUUUUCCAUUGCUUAUCUCUGAUUUUAUUACUUACGCCGACAGAGCAAAACCCUAGGUUUAAGUCGAACUCCAUCCGGUAUAAAUACAUUGCCUGUGUCCGCUUCUAUGACAUAACUAACCCCCGUUUUUCUUUUUCUUUUUUCUUUGCUUGUUGAUGUUUUUGACGUAUUAUUAAUUUAGAUUUCUGUUAUUUAUUAUCGUUCGUUGUGCUAUAUCCAUAUACCGAUUACUGAUGGUGCUUUUUUCUUUUGUUUGAUCGCAGAUCACGUCGAUGGAUCCAUUCUCUACCAAACGAAUACAUCCAUGGGUUAGCCAUCUUCAAGAAGAAGUCAAGUACGAGAAAGUGGUGGGGCAUGGUCUUAACGCACAAGAGCUUGCACGUAACCCUAGACUCGAUUACUUCUUCGUCAAGGAUCUCAACGAAGAUCAGAAAUUCGAGUUCGAAGACAAGUCUUUCGACGCUGUUUAUGUGCUGUCGGUGUACAGUAUCUACAACAACCCGAUAAAGUGCAUGACCGUAAACCAAAACCAAUUUCGAAAAACUGCCGGAGAUCGACGGCUGAGGGGUGACUAUAAUAAAUAGACUUUUUAUGUAACUUUUGUUUGAAAUUAUUAUGGUAUUGUUUUACGUUUUUAUUGACAAAUGACAUUGUUUUACUUUAAAUCAUGUUCUGUAUUUUUUUUUAAGUUCUGUUGAACAAAUAUCUCGUAGUUGAUCGUUUCUUACAGCGCCUGGUUCAUAAAUCUAUAUCGAAGAGUUAGAUAUGUGUUCAUAUUUAAUAAUUAAUUAAUAAAUUAAAAGAUUACGUCGAAUCAUCAAGAUAUAUCCGAACAUUGAUUAUUUAGUUCUCUAAAAAAAUUGGACUGUUUGUGCUUAUUGGUAAACUGUGAAAAAAGCUACACGACUUCAGAUUUCCGUAGCAUAUGGAAUCAUUAUACACAGUUCCAUACCCUAAGUAUCUAUCUAUAAUAACAAUAUUUGAGAAGUGUUUUUGCUGUGUCGGACUCUCGGCUCUUGUUGAGCCCUUGAUUUUGCGUAAUUACUUAAAUAUCUUCUAUUAAAUUAAUUCGAAUAUUAAUUAAAAUUAAAAAAUUAACUGACCCUAAAAUAUAAAAAUUCGAUAUAUUUUACAUUUAAAAAAAUAGUAAUAUUCUUAAACACGAAAAAAUGAAAAAAAAUAAAUAAAUUUGGAUCAAAUGUAGUUUACAUACCUUUUUUAUGACGGUUUAUCGUUCGACCAAGAACAUCCAAUGAUUAAUCUCCACCAAUCUAAUCAUGGUCGUGAGUCAUAUACAAUUACGUCGGAGAAAGGAUUGGUCGUGUCUUCUUAUUUUCUCUUCCUUUUCCGUGUUUUUUUUUCCUUUUUGGUUCUCUUUUUUUCCAACAAAAGAUGUGUCUCAUAAUUAAUCGUUUAAUUAUAUUUUUGAUAUAUUAAUGGUAAAUUUAUGUUGUGAUAAUCACGAGCCAAUUGUUUUUAAAAGUAAAAUUUACUUUUCUAAAAUAUAUAGAUAUUGCCGAUAAUAUCCAAACAACUAUCAUAUAUUCUUUAAAUUCACAAAUCUGAUAAAAUAAAAGAAACUUUCUUUUAUAUUUUAUACCGAUAAUGAUGGUGUAUCUAAAUAAAUGUCAAAUAUAAUUGUAAAUCUAAAAAAAAUUAUGUUAUUGUUCCAUUUUUUAACAAAUAAAAUAAGGAAUAUUUUUUUAUAAUUAAUAUUCAUAGUAGUUAUUAAUUGUUUUUAGGAAUAUUAAUUGUUUUGAUAAAGAUUUGAUCUAACACAAUAUAUAAAUCUUCAUUUCUUGUUGUUGUAAUUAUCUUCAAAAAUUAAAAAAAUUAGAUCUUACACCGCCUUUCAGUUUAAUAUAAAUACCUUCUCUAGGUUUCACUUUCAAAUCAUAACUAACCCCAUUUUUUUGCUUUUUUUUUUUUUUGCGUUUUAUUUUAUUUGGCUUUACACAUAUGAAUUCAUGGUGUUUAUGUAUUGUUAUAGGUUACGGAUGCAACAUCGUUAAACAAUUCCAGGACAAUUAAAUUGUUGAUUCAAUCGAACAUAUGGUGAGUUUUUCACUUUAGUACUUUCAUGUUUAAUAUUUAAAUUAUGCUUGGUGUAUUGAGAAAUCUAUAAGCUUUCCCAUAAUAUUUUGCGAGCAGCUUAGAUUUCAUAUUCUUCACUAAAAAAAAAAAGAAGCUUUGAUUUUGUAUUUACCAUAUUCUUCACUAAAAAAAAAGAAGCUUUGAUUUUGUAUUUACAUAAUUUGAUAUCAGUUUGAUUAUUGGUUCCAUCAUGAUGCAAAUUACGGCAUCUCAACAACCCCAAUAGACUAUAAUCGUUGGAAACUCUUCUUUUUCUCUUGCUUCUCUCUGAUUAUCUUUCACCAGGAGUCUCAAUUAUUAUUAUUUCUUUGUAUUGAUGCGAUCAGAAGUUUUAUCUCUUUUUUUAAAUAAUGAUCUCUUUAUGGAUUUUUCAUUUAGGUAUGAACAUGGUUUGUUUCACGGGGUGUUUCGGUGUCUUGCCUUGAAUCAAGGCGUGUAAAAACGUAAAGCUUGCUUUUAUCUAUCUUUUUUUAUUGUCACGUCUUUAUCCAUCUAUGUAACGCUUAAUCAUCAAUUAUUAUAUUAAACUUCAAUAAAGGCUGGUGUACCAAAUUCAUGGUUUGUUUUAUCUGAUUAGUGUACCAAAUUCAAUUGGAACUAUAUCAGAUCCAUGAAAUUAUUGAUUAUUGAUACAUGCAGGUUAUGUGUGAUCCUUAUACACCAGCUGGUGUUCCAAUUUCAACCAACAAGAGGCACAACGCUGCUAAAAUUUUCAGACACCAAUCGUUGCCUCCGAGGAGCCUUGGUAUGCUCAUCUUCUUGUUUUUUGGCUAUACAUAUUAUUUUCGUUACUAUAAAUUCUAAUAGUGUUUGUUUUUUUAAACGAUUGUAUGUUUUGGAUGAAUGAAAGCAACCACGAUGCAUGAAGAAGAUUCAGGUGAUGUUUCAAUUGAUCUUUUAUCUUUAAUUUAUCGAUUUUCUAAUUUUACAAAAAUGUUCUCACCAAGUAGAAUAUACUUUUGAGUUUUGAGUUAAAUCUUUCACAGUCUGUUGUGGAUUAGCAACGUUUCAAGCCAUAUUAACUAUUGUGUUGUGGCAGUUCGAAAGAUUCAUAUAAAUUGGACUAUUGCUACAAAAAAAAAACAGAAUCACAGGUUUAAUUCUAUCAAAGGAGAUAAAGCCUCUUAUCUCUACUGUCUUUGAGGGUAAAGAUGCUAAUGUCGUCGCCCACGGAGCAAGAAAUUGCGGAAAAACAUAUCUCAUACAUGUAUUGAAAGCAAUCCCAUUAAGGUAUUGAUUAUCAGACAUGAUACUAUAGAUGAAAAAUGCUAAUUAUUGUAUCGCAUGGUUUGUAGGGAAAUGAUUAUGCUCUGACGCUCAAAGGAAACAGACACCUUUGACUGUGUCUGCUACUUCUAGAAAACAGACAAUGCUAAGGGGAAAUGUGACAGAGAGAAAAGACUAAAAUCAAAGCAAGGUAAAUCUUUCAGAAACAACUUUGUAUCAACUCUAAGCCUCAAUAUCCAUGAUAUACCUGCAUCUGCUCUGUUGUUCAGUUUUAGAACAUCAAAUAAUGAUGAUUUUUUUUCUCAAUGUUUGAAGGAAACUGUUCCGCGAAGCAAACGAUUCAGUGAAAUGUAAAAAUAGCAUGUUGGAAAAUUUAAUUAAUACGUCAUGAAGUGGAAUAAUCUAGAUUCUUCCUUUACAAAGAGGUAAAACAGAGGGUAUAGAAACAGAGACUAAGAGACCAAGAGUCUUAAUUAAGGAGGUUUGGUAUACCACUUAACCCUAAUCAAUCCACUACUUACUUGAUAAAGACAUAUUCUCAUCAUGUAUAUUUGAUUAGAUUAGCUAGGCUCGUAAUAUGGGACAAAACCCCGAAGAUGAGCAAGAAAUGCUUUGAAAGAUUUUAUCGUAGCAUGAGUGUCAUAUCUACACCCUUCAGUGCUCCCUUGUAAAAUCAAAGUAUCUGAGUAUAGAUACUUAAUAGGUUUAAGUGUUCUUCGAUCUUGGACGAUAUGUUCCAACUUAUACUGAUACAGAGGUUAUACAGAUUUUUGGUUUUUCUAAUAAAAUAAAUUGUUUGCUGAAAGAUUGCUAUACCUUUAACAAUUUUAUUUUGUUUGUUAGGGUCACGACAUAUAUACUAUAAUUGAUAGAGAGUAUUAUCGUCAUCGUGGAUUCAGGUUUUUCCAAGGACGAUAGAUACAUGGCCGGCCCUAUAGACAUCAACAAGAAACUUUUGCUGUAACCCAAAUUUUGUUUCUGAAAUUCUUCAACAAAAAUUAUUUAUGAAACGGACCUAAUUUUAUUUAUUUUACUAUAAUUGGCCCUAAAUUUUAAAACCUUUCAAAAUAACCAAAAACUUUUUUUUGAGUAUUUGGCCCUUCAAAUCUCAGGGCAGGCCCUGGAUGGAUAACACUUAGAGAUUUUGAUUCAUGUUAUCAGUUUGCUUAGUCAUACUUUUUAUGAUUUUAAAAUUCAUUGGAAUUUAUCAAUCUUUGUUUCACAUAUACCUUCCUUGGGUGCGAUUGAUUACUGCGCAUUCGCAUCUUUUAGGAAAAUUGAUACUUAAUUUUGAGUAUGUUUAUUUCCUUGGUCCCAUAAUAUCUUUUGUUUGGAAAUUUUAUUCUUUGCAUUGUUAUGGUUUGAUCUAUUAAUUUAAAUAAUUAUAUUUAAUUGGUUGGGUCGUGAGUGUUAGCAAUAUUGAAGACGGAAAACCAAUAAUAAAGUGUGGGAUCAAGUUUAUGUGGGAUUAGAAGAUGAAUUGUAAGUUAUUAAUUUAAUCAAAAUUAGAUUUCUUAUAGUUUAAUUUGGGUAGUAUGCUAAAAACUUAAUUUUAUAAUAAAUUUACGUCUAUAAUGUCGACUACAUGGUGGAUACUGUUGUAAAUUUUUGAGAGAACGGAGUAAACAAUGUGAUAAUAUCACCAUAUUUAUCAUGAGAUUCACUAGAAUAGAAGUCACUCGAGGUAUUCGAAUAUUGUUGUUUUUCAUGUAUAUAUAAUUUCUGAAUAUUUAUUAGUCGAUCACGUUUCUAUGAUAUUGUUUCUUAUGGUUUUGGCUACUAUUGUUUGCAAUGGCACCCGAAUGAUGCUAAAAAAUAUGUGUGCUGAAAGUUGCAGGAAUGCAGAGUUGUUUUCUGCUAAGGAUCACAGAAAUUUUUAUUAGUUACUAAGCUUAUCUAUUUUUUUUGUUUCCAUUUUUCCGAAUUAUUUUUUUCCUAAACAUGUAAAUAUGAUCUAAAAUGAAGUUUGAGGCUUUACAAAAGAUAAAUAAUUACACAAAAGCAACCUUGGCAAAAAAAGAGAUAAAAACAAGACUACAGUAGAGUAAAGAAAGAUUUGGAAAUAGAUAACGAAUCCAAAUAAGCAUAAGCUUUGUUCAUCUCGUAGCUCCACUCCACCAUCUUGAAAAUGAUUUGAGCAGCAAGCCGCAAGGAGUUAUGGAGAAUGUUAUUACGCUGUCGCCAGAACUUAUAAACCACCACUUGAGAUGCUACUUUUCUAAGAAAAGAAGGCACAUGACUGGAAGAGCGUCAGGUCCAAGAAAAUAGCUCAAUCCAAGAGCAAAACAACCUUUGUUGUGGAAAAAUCCUAGAGAAAACUAAAUUCCACACCUGGAAAGAGCUCACAAAGGAGCAGACGGUGAUCAUGAGACUUCGUUACAAAAAUGCAAAGACGACACUCAUCAGAUUGAAUUUGUCCUUAAGAAGCCAGUCUUUGACGAGUGGGCAAUUAUUUAAGUGACUCUGGAGAGGAAGAGCGUUAGGACAAAGAAAGUAACUCAGCCUAAGAGCAAAACAACUUUUGUCGAGAACAAAGCCUAGAGAAAACUAAAUUCCACACCUGGGAAGAGCUCACAGAGGAGCAUGAGGUGAUACCGAGACUCUGUUGCAAAAGUGUAAAGACAACACUCAUCAGAUUGAAUUUGUUCCCAAGAAGCCAGUCUUUGAUGAGUGGGCAAUUCUUUAAAAGUGUAAGGAGAGGAAGAGCGUUGGGUCCAAUAAAGUAGCUCAGCCCAAGAGUAUAACAACCUUUGUUGAGGAUAAGGCCUAGAGAAAAUCAAAUUUCCCACCUCAGAAAAGCUCAUAGAGGAGCAGGAUGUGAUCUUGAGACUCCGUAGCAAAAGUGCAUAGACAACACUCAUCGAAUUGAAUUUUUCCCUAGGAAACCAGUCUUUAACGACUGGAGAGGAUGAUUGGAGAUUUAUUUAAGUGUCUCAAUAGAAGAAGAGCGUCAGGUGCCAGAAAGUAGCUCAACCCAAGAGCAAAAAAACCUUUGUGGAGGAUAAAUCCUAGAGAAAACCAAAUUCCACACCUUGAAAAAGCUCACAGAGGAACACGAGGUGAUCCCGAGACUCCGUUGCAAAAGUGCAAAUACAACACUUGCCCCCAAGAAGCCAGUCUUUGAUGAGUGGAAAAUUAUUUAAGUGACUCUCGACGGUUCAAGAAAGUAGCUCAAGCCAAGAGCAAAACAACCUUUGUCGAGGACAAAGCCUAGAGAAAACUAAAUUACACACCUGGGAAGAGCUCACAGAGGAGCAAGAGGUGAUCUCGAGACUCUGUUGCAAAACUACAAAGACAACACUCAUCGGAUUGAAUUUAUCUCCAAGAAGCCAGUCUUUUACGAGUCGGCAAUUAUUUAAAAGUGUAAGGAGAGGAAUAGCGUUGGGUCCAAUAAAGUAGCUCAUCCCAAGAUUAAAACAACCUUUGUUAAGGAUAAGGCCUAGAGAAAAUCAAAUUUCCCACCUCGAAAGAGCUCACAGAGGAGCAUGAGGUGAUCCUGAGACUCCGUUGCAAAAGUGCGUAGACAACACUCCUCGAAUUGAAUUUGUCCCCAGGAAACCAGUCUUUAACGACUGAAGAGGACGAUUGGAGCGAGAUUUAUUUAAGUGUCUCAACAGAAAAAGAGCGUCAGGUGCCAAAAAGUAGCUCAACCCAAGAGCAAAACAACCUUUGUGGAGGAUAAAUCCUAGAGAAAACCAAAUUCCACACCUUGAAAAAUCUCACAGAAGAACACGAGGUGAUCCCGAGACUCUGUUGCAAAAGUGAAAAUACAGCACUUGGCCCCAAGAAGCCAGUCUUUGAUGAGUGGGCGAUUAUUUAAGUGACUCUCGACGGUCCAUGAAAGUAGCUCAGGCCAAGAGCAAAACAACCUUUGUCGAGGAAAAAACCUAUAGAAAACUAAAUUUCACACCUGGGAAGAGCUCACAGAGGAGCAAGAGGUGAUCUCGGGACUCCGUUACAAAAGUACAAAGACAACACUCAUCGGAUUAAAUUUGUCCCCAAGAAGCCAGUCUUUUACGAGUCGGCAAUUAUUUAAGUGACUCUAGAGAGAAAGAGUGCCGGAUCCAAGAAAGUAGCUUAGUCCAGGAGCACAACAACCUUUGUCGAGGAUAAAGCCUAGCGAAAACUAAAUUCCACACCUAGGAAGAGCUCACAGAGGAGCAUGAGGUGAUCCCGAGACUCCGCUGAAAAAGUGCAUAGACAACACUCAUUUGAUUGAAUUUGCUCCCAAGAACCCAAUCUUUGACGAGUUGACAAUUAUUUAAGUAUCUCAUGGGUAGAAGAGUGUCGGUCCAAGAAGUAUCUCAGUCCAAAAUCAAAACAAUCUUUGUCGAGGAUAAAUCCUAGAGAAAACCAAAUUCCAUACCUCGAAAGAUCUCACAGAGGAGCAGGAGGUGAUCCCAUACUCUGUUACAAAAGUACAAAAACAACACUCAUCAGAUUGAAUUUGCUCCCAAGAAGCCAGUCAUUGACGAGUGGGCAAUUAUUUAAAAUAGUCUGGAGAGGAAGAGCAUGAUAUCAAAAUUAACGUAAGAGUUUUGACAUCAAUAUCUUUAGGAUAAUGGAAGGAGUUUCCAAAUGAACAUAAUCUUUAAACUUCAAUGUCUUGUAAAAAUUGAAGGAUUUUGUAAGUUAACAUAAUAUUGUCGAUGUCACAUUAUUGUCAUUGUCACAUUAUUAAAUUCGAAGUCAAGAACUAUUGGUACCUUCAAAAUUUCUGUUGUUUGUAGUUGUGAGCGUCUCCGGUAUCGACUACCGUGGUUUUAUGUCAAUAAAUUUUUCGCUGAGUGGAGGCAAUGUAUUGAUGACAUUACCAUAUGUAUAUUCAGAUUUGCAAGAACUGAAAUGAGUGAAAGUAUUUUGUUUUGGUUUUGUUAUUUAACAUGUAUUGUUGGGGUUUGAGACAUUGAAACUAUAUUUCUUUGAUAAUUAAGGUACACGAAGAGGUACUGCUUCAUACAAGUGUUCGCAGAUUCUAUUCAAUCAUUCUUGUCAUGAUGUAACGAGGAUGCGAGAUAUCUUUUCCAACAAGAAGAAAGGACAAAUGUCACACAUCCAAUUUUGAUCUUUUGAUUAUCUUUGGUUGUUGAUGAGCAAACCAAGACUACUAAAUUUAUACUUUCUGGUUCUAAUGAUUUUAGUUUUCCGUUUUGCAUUUUACUAUAUUCAGAGGAUAAUAAUCACUAUUUUCUCGCAAUAAUAUAUCAAACGUUAUGGCGUUUUACCAUAAUUCUAUAUUAAUGUCGUUAUAAAAAUUAUACUCUUGACAAAAUUAAAUCAAUAAUUGUCUAAAACUUAUAACCCUAAAUGACUAAAUCUGGUUUUAAUCAACAUACAACUCCGCGCCGGGCGCGGGGACCUCCCCUAGUUAACUGUAAACUGCUGAAAAAAAACUCCUACAAAAUAUUGAAUAUGAUGAUUUUCAUAUCAAAAAACAAAAUUGUUAGAAUUAAUUAACUGAAUAUGAAUAUGUAGACACGCAUACAUAUGUGUAGUCACGCUAUACGUAUGAUAUUUAAACAUUUUGUUUGUUUGUUCACGUAAAACACGUUAGAUUCCAAUGAUUAAAAUCCAAAUAAAUUAUUUAAGUGAAAAGUAAAUAUAUAGUUAACUAUUUGUAGAAAAUUUCAAGCUAUUUUCCCUCCUUUUCAUAUUCCACGCAAUUUAAGUUACAAUAUAUUGAUAGCUUUAUUUUAGUGAUUUUAGGAUUACCAAACCAUUUUAAAUAAUUUUUCUUAAGACAAUAAUAUUAACCUUGGAUAAAUUAAUAUAAUAACAAUAUAUAUUUGUAUAGUUACAUGUUAGAUUAUUAUACAUGUAUUAAAAAUUUGAGAUAUUGGUGGAGGAAAAUGAAAGAAUAAACUUUUAUCGGAUGAUGAGAGGUGUUAGAUAUAUUUAGAAAAUAACUGCAUUUAGGAAGUUAUAUUUUUUUUUUAUGAAGUAGUAGAAAACCAUUCAAACUAUAAAUUAUGGUCAAUAUUAUUUUAAUUAAGUAGUAAAUGUAUUUUAGUGGGGUUGAGUGAUGUUCUUCAAAUUAUUUGGUAUGAGUAACUUUGAUUUUAAAUUUAAUAGGAGCAAAAAAAGAUUUAAAUGUGGAACUUACACAAGAAAUUUAAAUGUGAGUUAGUUAUAGAUAAAUAUUAUAUUAUAGUGUUAUUUAAAAAAGAUAGUUAAAAAGAUAAUAUGGGCUUUAGUAUCCACUCUUCUAUCCACUUUUACAUACACAAAAAGUGAUGAGCAGCUUGUGAUUGCUCAAAUGCCAAAUGAAGAGUUUUCCUAUCAUGAUAUUGAGCUAGCUCCAAUGGUAGAUGAAAAUUCUCUUUUCAUCUGUCAUUGGAUAAACAACUGAAUUGGGUUGAAUCACCAUCAAUGUUAAGACGGCUAUGCACUUGUUCCGCUCAUUCUUUAAUGUGUAUGCAAUCUGUAUUCUAUUUUGUUAUCUUUACUAUGACGUUAAUGUUCCUAGUAUUUAUAUUUGCCUUUUCAUGGAUUAUCUACAUGUAUGUGUCACCACGAGCGGAAUAAGGUUGAUAUUUGCCUUUUUCAUACCGUAUAAAAUUGUUCAAUUCAUGUACAUUUAUUAGUUAAACAUUGAUGGUUUAUGAUUGUGUACAUACAUGUAUGUGUAGCCAACCGCAUUGUUCCAAGUAUAAAAUUUUACUUGUGUUUUAAUGCAUCACAAUACUGGACUUGCUUGUAGAAAAAAACAAUGAAGCUAACAAUAUAAUUAAAUAUUUAAUAUUUGCCAUUUUCAUGCCGUAUAAAAGUGUUCGUGUAUAUUAAUUUGUUAAAUAUUAAAAAUAUACUCAAGCGUAUAAAACUUGACUCAAGCGUAUUUGUUUCCCAUGGCAUAUCAUCUAACCGUUCUACAUGAUCACUUAUGCUUUCAUUCAGAUAACUAUUAGUUCUACCUUCCCAUACCACCGAGAUGUAGGAUCAAUUUCGCUUCCCAUACCACCGAGAUGUGUUAUAUCUUGUCUUAAAGCAACCCAUCGGAAGAAACAACACACUAACAGCAAAACGUUAAAUGUCACUGAUAUCUCAAGGCAACCAACUUUAAGUGUGCCUAUACUAACUGAACAACUGGAAGACGAAGGGCAAUCCGCAGAAUUGGAGCUGAUCAUCUCUGCGCUGACAAAAACUGAGGAAAAUAUCACCUGCAACAUCACAAUCACCCCUACUUUUAGCAAUAAAGCGAACAAGUAUUUCACUAUAUAUAUGUCAAGAGAAGUAGCAUGAUCAUCAAGUGAAAUGAAAUUGGCCGAACUCGCAAAUGGAAAACCCAAGCAAAAAAAAAAAGACUGAGAGAAUUGCUCAAGAUACUACUUCGCAAGGACGAGACGGAAAACGAAGUGGAAUUGUAUACAUGUAAGAAGAGAACCACUGCAACAAGCUUGAGAGGGAUCGCCAUGUUUGUCUCUAUCUUUCCUGGUGAUCUAGAGAAAAUUGCAAUUAUGAAAUGAAACAGUUAGUCUUGGCGUAGUUGAACAUAGGUUUGAAGAAUCAGAAUUGGAGAGUAAAGCUAACCUCACUCGACACGAGGCAAUCCCAGAUUUCCCAACAAGGGGCGGAUUGAAGGAAUCAAACAAUGGAAUCUACUUCUUUGAUAUCUUUAACGGCGCUUUCCCCGUCCAGUCGCUGAAUCGUCGGCUACAGUUAAAUAAUACAUACUACAUUUACUGUUCAACACUCUACAUAUAAAUAUAUAAGGGCUGGUGUCACUCUUAAACUAAGAUCUUUUAUAGUUAUUUAGAUUUCAGCUGGGUCCUCUAACAUGCAAGUCACAAAAAAAAAAUGCAUACUUCUCGAGAAAGAAGAAACAUGGAAAGUUGAAAGAGACACCUUGCGACGUCACCUGCAUAUUUUCAUAGCCGCUAGGAAUUUCUCAGUUACAAUGCUUCUAUGCAAUAUGUGAACCUUAAAAGUUGAAUUACAAGGGUUCCCGCUCAUUCUUUAAUGUGUAUGCAAUUUGUAUUCUAUUUUGUUAUCUUUACUAUAACAUUAAUGUUCCUAGUAUUUAUAUUUGCUUUUUCUUGUCUACAUGUAUGUGUCACCACGAGAGGAAUAAGGUUGAUAUUUGCCUUUUUCAUACCGUAUAAAAUUGUUCAAUUCAUGUAUAUUUAUUGGUUAAACAUUUGAUGGUUCAUGAUUGUGUACAUACAUGUAUGUGUAGCAAACCGAAUUGUUCCAAGUAUAAAAUUUUACUUGUGUUUUAAUGCAUCACAAUACUGGACUUGCUUGUAGAAAAAAACAAUAAAGCUAACAAUAUAAUUAAAUUUUUUUUUUUUGGUAGGGACAAUAUAAUUAAAUAUUUUAUGUUUGCCUUUUUCAUGCCGUAUAAAAAUGUUCGUGUACAUUAAUUUGUUAAAUAUUUGAUGGUUAAUGUACAUUACUGGACUUGCUAUUUCCAUGCUGGACUUGCUGUUUCCUCUUCUGUCUCUGUGGUUUUUGGCCAGAUUGACAGGAACAUUAAGGACACUCUUCUUGCUCGCCGUUACCGGAAAGGCUGUGGGAGACUUCUGUCUCAAUGGUUUGUUCAUAGCUAACCUCUAUGUUAUGUUAAGUUUGUUUCAAGUUUGGCUUUUUAAUUUUUUUUUGGGCCCUUGAAUCUGUCUGCCUUUUUGGCAUUGUAAAUAACUCUUUCCUUUUAAGGCAAUAUAUAUUCACAAGUUAUCAAAAAAAAAUGUACAUUAAACAAUAUUAAAAUUUUCUAAGUGUUGGGUGUAUGUUUUUCUAAUAAUCUAUUCCUAUAGUUUUUGACAUUUUUCUUUCUUUUUAUCUUUCCGUAGUGAGUAAAAUAAAUUAAUAAUAUUUUUAUUAAUUUAUCUGUAAAUUUCUAUUUAUUAAUUUAUAGUAUAAAUUAAUAUUUAUUAAUUUAUAAAAGUUUUGUUUUAAUUUUUAAAACUUUUUUUUAAAAUAUGAGUUAAAAUAAUGUGAUCUAAAUAAAAUUAAUGUUUUGAAUGUUAUAAAUUUUAUAGUUUUAGACUUAAACAUUUACUAUUUCGAAGAUAAAAUUUUUUUUUUACAAUAAAUAACAAAGAUUAUAGAAUUCAGAUAUACAAAUGAUAUACAUAAAUUUAAAUUUAUAAAUAGUGACAUCUAGUAUUUGAGAAACUUAUAAGAUUGUUAAAACAGAAAUUAUUUAUAUUCAAAAUUUGAAAACUUAAAGAAAAUUUUGAAUAUUUUUAUGAAAACACUUAAAAUAUAUAUAUAUAUAUAUGCCAAUUUAUAUGAUUAUUAAUUUAUGAUAUUGUUAGGACCAUAUUUUUAUAUAAUGAUUUCAAGAAAAUUAUUAUCUUAUUAUUUUAUCGAUUUUAGUUAAUUUUUACACUGGUCCGAUUCGAGACCAGCAAAUUUAUUAUUUUAUCGUGUUUAUUAAUUAAUCGAGUAAUAUUAAUGAAAAAAAAAAAAAGAAACACUUAAACAUAUUUAGAAAGUUUUAAAUGACAUAAGUCAUAUUGAAGAUCUAGGUAUUAGCUGUGCUGCUGUGCAUGAGAAUGCGAUGGUAAAUGUAUAGUAUGCCGGUGGUGAGUGUUCGAUUAGUGAUCUCUCUUCUUGCUAGGUGGAGGAGUUGAGAGAUGAGGUCUUGGUUUUCUCAAAUUUGACCUUUCUGGAAGAAGUAUUCAAGGUUUUGGCUUGAUGUUGGCAGAGGCUUGAGGUCGGAUCCGCUAGCUCCGGUUAAGAGCUCGAGUCGGCAUCAAUGUUUCAAAAGAGUCCUUCUUGUUAGCGCCGGUAUUCUUGGUCGGAUUUCUGUUCCGGUUAACCGUCCUAGUCAGAUCUCUGGUUUCUGGCAAAAUUUCCGAUUUGGACCUUGCCCUUUUGUAACCAUGUAAUCGUUCAGGCCCAUGGGUCAUAACCCAUUCUUGCGAUGAAUAAUUAAAUGUUUGUUAAAAAAAAAAAAAAAUGUAUAGUAUGCCUAAAGUAAAUAAUUCCACGAGAAGAUAGGGAAGGAAAUUUUAAGAUUAGAAGGGCAUCAUAUUGAAGAAGAGAGUUCAAUCCAACACCGGAAAAAACAAUCCAGGUUCUUGCAUAGCUUAAAAGCUAAUGAAACUGAAAAAUGAGAUUCAAAAACAAAAGACACCGUGUUGAUUCUAUAAGCUGUGGAGCAAGCGAUCAAUUAGCUCACACGGUGUGUUGUCAUGAGUUAUUUAGUUAAUUCUAUAAUAGUUUAAAAUAAAAAAAAAUUAAGAAUAUCAUGUUACAAAAUCAACAAUUUUAAUAGUUGUUUCCAAUUAAAAGAAAAAAAAAAAAGUCAAAAUCAAAUUGAAAUCAUUCUCAAGAAAAUAGCCACCGACCUAAUAUUUUUUCUUUUUACUGCAUUAACUAAUUAUUUUCAGUUGAUUAAUUACCUUAGAAAAGGAAAUCUAUAUUCCUUUUGAAAAUGGAAAUUCACCGUAUAAUAUACAGUAUCUAUAAAUUACUUAUAUCAAGCGUAAGUCUCUAGGGUUUUAGAUUUUUCACUUUCACGGGUUGCUGCAAAUCUGUUUUCUAUUUCUGAUUUCUGUGUUAUCCUCUGAACAAUCGAUAUGGAAUCUACGAUGGAAGAAGCUAAAAGAGCAAUGGAGAUUGUAGAGAGGAAACUUAUGGAUAAAGAUUACGUUGGUGCCAAGAAAUUCAUUAACAACGCUCAUAAUUUGUUUCCAAAUCUUGAUGACCGUUGGAAGACGAUGAUCGAUGUUUAUAUCUCUGCAUCAAACGGAGGAGGAUCAGAAGCUGAUUGGUAUGGAGUUCUCGGUGUAGACUCUUUAGCUGAUGAUGAAGCACUGAAGAAAAAUUACAAGCAGUUAGCUCUUUUGCUUCAUCCGGACAAGAACAAGUGUUAUGGCGCUGAAGGCGCCUUUAAGUUGGUUUCAGAAGCUUGGUGUUUGUUAUCUGAUAAGGUUCAGAGAGCUUCUUAUGAUCAAAGAAGGAAGUCGAAAGAAACACAGAUCGAGAUACAGAAACCAACAAACCCACAUAAGCCUACUAAAGCUACUAAGUAUGCGUCUGCGGAUUCAUCAAAACAGAGGAAAAGCAGAACUUUUUGGACAAUGUGCAGAAGCUGCAAGACACAAGGUGAAUAUUUGAGGAAUUCUAAUCUUAACAAGGCUAUACAUUGUCCAAAUUGUCGUCAAACUUUCAUUGCAACCGAGAAGACUCCAAAAGCAUCAAACAAAAGCACCAAACAAGUUUCUCAACAGCAAGUGAAACAACAAUGGAGUGUGCAGAAUAAAGUACCAAACAAAAGCACCAAAAACGCUUCUUCUUCUUCUCGGAUAAAUUCUUCGCCAUCGGUUAGUUUUACCUGGAAUUUUUCAUCAGUGUCAUCAAAGGCAAGGUCUAAUUGUGGAAGUGCCGCAAAUCAAAAAUUGAAAAGAGGACUUGAGGCACAAGAAACGGUUGCUCCUGCAGGGAAGAUUCUUAAGAAGCAGAGGACAAAUGUGGCAUAAGAAGUAAGACUUAUACCUUUGCAUAGUCCUGCUUUUAUACCUUUCAGUGUUUCUUUAAGAUAUGUUAUUAAUCUUUUUUCAUCUUUAGACUAAAAUUCGUAUUGUGGAACAAGAGCAAGUUCUUCUUUCAUCGUCAAUGUGUAGUGUCCUAACUUCACUUAAAACAUUAUGUCUUGUUAUUAGUUGAUUUUCUAACAGUUUUUACAGCAACAUCAAAACGUUAAGACUCAAAACACUAUCUUCCUCACUUUUCAAGUUAUUGGUUGAUUUUAGAACAGUUCUUUACAGCAAUCAAAAUAAUUGUAAGAAUAUUAAUUCUUUUUCUCAAAUUUGUUUCCAAUACAAAAGAAUAUUCUGAGCUAAUAAUUUCCUUUUUACUCUAAGUAAUAAAUUUUGUUUACUAAUUUCCUUUUUUUUCCAAGCCAUCAAUUUGACAAUUUCCAAUCAUAAGCGCUCGCUCUUGCUUGUGUUCUAAGUCAUUAGGGUUUUAGUGGAUCUCUUCACUUGGCACGAGAGUUUGCAAAAUUUCUUCUUUCACUACGGCUUCUUCUGAACCUAUUUUUCUUUUGCUUCUCCGGUUGUCUUUGUAGAGAAGAAAACUCUCUUAACGACAUGGAAUGUAAUAAGGAAGAAGCUAGAAGGGCAAUGAAUAUUGCUGAGAGGAAACUUUCGGAGAAUGAUUACAAUGGAGCGAAGAAAUUCAUUAACAAGGCUCAUAAUUUGUAUCCUCAUGGUUUGAAGCAAAUGUUGAUGAUGAUAUAUCGAUGUUUAUCUCUUUGCAUCAAAAAGAGGAGAAGAAGCUGAUUGGUAUGGCAUUCUUGGUGUAGAUCCUUUAGCUGAUGAUGAAGUAGUGUGAAGAAACAGUACAAGAAGUUAGCUCUUUUGCUUCAUCCGGACAAGACCUUGUUUAAUGGCGCGGAAGGUGCCUUUAAGCUAGUUAGAGAAGCUUGGUGUAUGUUAUCUGAUAAGGGUAAGAGAACUUCUUAUGAUCAAAGGAGGAAGUCGAAAGAAGCAAAGACCGAAAUUCAGAAAAACCAAACCCACAAAAUCCGGCUUCUUGUGGGAUGGAGAAACCACCAAACCCGUGUAAACCUGCUUCUAGUAAUGGUAAUCAAAGUGCUAGAGACGAUGUGGAUCCAAGUGUUGGGGCUGGAAGUAAUAAGCUUGCUCGUUGGAUAAUGAAACGACUAAAUUAUUUACACAAGCCAGCAUCUUCUAGUGGGAAUCAAAAUGCUAGAGACGGCGUAGAUCCAAGUGUUGGGGAUAGAAGUAAUAAGCCUUCUAGUUGGAUAAAGAAACGAUUAAAUCCGCACAAGCCAGCAUCUUCUAAUGCGAAUAAAAAUGCUAGAGACGAUACUACUUAUUAUGUGUAAUCACCAUCACUCGCUUGUUAAGGCAGUCCCUUGUCAUAUGACCUCUGCUUUGGCACUUAUAACAAAUCGUGUCGUUCGAUUUGAAAUGUGACUCGAUUGCAAAGGAUUUUUCUUUGUCUACGGUUUAUGGGGUGGUGCUUGCUAUGUUGUGGGUUGUGGCUGGCCCCACAAGUUGUUUUUAGCUCUGGUUUUAAUGGAAGUCUUCUUCUUGAUUUGUUGGUCUCGUUGAAUAGCGAGGUUGUUGACAUUCUCACAUUCUCUUUAUUUCUCACACUCAUUUACGGUUUCAUUGUCUUUAGAGAGAAAGAACAAAAACCAUUACUCUUUAAUUGUCUACAUUGUAUUAAUGGAUCACAAGGAUACUUUUGUUACAUCACACAUACAAGCAUACUUAUACUACUUUACUUCUACUUCUACUUACUACAUACACAUACACACACUUGCACUUGGACCUUACUCCUACUUCUAGACUCUCUUACACAAGCAAGGUUAAACUACUAAACCUUACACAACAACUCUUAACCACUACACUUGACAACUCUACUAAGCUAGUCUUUGACUAACACAACACACUUACUCUUUUGGGCCUAACAAAACAUUUAGCCCAAUCACUUAUUCUUACAAAACAACACAAGCCCAACUUGUCUCUUGUUGUGUUGACUUUCCUCUUUGUCGUUGACAUCUUCUUUCACGACAACAUCUUCUCCGACAUCGUCUUCUUCUUCCGAUGCUUCUUCCUCUGUUCUUCAUCUUCUUCUCAUGGAUUCUUCUUUUCUCUUUUGCAGGUUCAAUCAAGGAUACAAUUCCAACAGAGGUAAAGAACUUCUUGCAAAGAUGAUCAAUGGGUGGCUAUUCCUUAGAUUGAUGGACAAGUUUCAAUCAACAAGCAAAAGAUCAAGUGAUGCUUCUUAUUCUUCUACAACUUCAGUAUCUGAUAGCGUGAAUGCAAAUCAAGCACAAGAAAGAAUGAAAAGAUGGCUUGAGGAGUCACGAGAAAAGCUCGCAUCUGCUAUAGGUAAUGCAAACUCUUCUUUUGAUGCAAAGAAGCUUUCCAUUAAAAAAAAAA